rnacentral:rRNA from 1 species
GAUGAACGCUGGCGGCGUGCCUAAUACAUGCAAGUCGAGCGAACGGACGAGAAGCUUGCUUCUCUGAUGUUAGCGGCGGACGGGUGAGUAACACGUGGAUAACCUACCUAUAAGACUGGGAUAACUUCGGGAAACCGGAGCUAAUACCGGAUAAUAUUUUGAACCGCAUGGUUCAAAAGUGAAAGACGGUCUUGCUGUCACUUAUAGAUGGAUCCGCGCUGCAUUAGCUAGUUGGUAAGGUAACGGCUUACCAAGGCAACGAUGCAUAGCCGACCUGAGAGGGUGUUCGGCCACACUGGAACUGAGACGCGGUCCAGACCCCUACGGGAGGCAGCAGUAGGGAAUCUUCCGCAAUGGGCGAAAGCCUGACGGAGCAACGCCGCGUGAGUGAUGCAGGUCUUCGGAUCGUAAAACUCUGUUAUUAGGGAAGAACAUAUGUGUAAGUAACUGUGCACAUCUUGACGGUACCUAAUCAGAAAGCCACGGCCAACUACGU